GGUUCAAUGGUGUAGUUGGUUAUCACAUCUGCUUCACAUAUCUCAAAGGCGCAGGCGGUCCUCGGUUCGAUCCCGGGUUGAAUCA